rnacentral:rRNA from 1 species
GAUCCUGGCUCAGGAUGAACGCUAGCUACAGGCUUAACACAUGCAAGUCGAGGGCANCAUGAACUUAGCUUGCUAAGUUUGAUGGCGACCGGCGCACGGGUGAGUAACACGUAUCCAACCUGCCCGAUGACGUCGGGGAUAGCCUUUCGAAAGAAAGAUUAAUACCCGAUGCAUAGUUCUUCCGCAUGGUAGAACUAUUAAAGAAUUUCGGUCAUCGAUGGGGAUGCGUUCCAUUAGG